AACGCACCUUGCGCUCCUUGGUAUUCCGAGGAGCAUGCCUGUUUGAGUGUCAUGUUUUCCUCAGCCUCUCUCAGAUUUUUUAUUUUCUGAGAUGAAGCUGGAUGUGGGGGUUUGCAGGCUUUAUCUUUUUUGUCUGCUCCUCUUAAAUGCAUUAGUGUGAAUAUUACUGAAUGUUCCCCAGUGUGAUAAUUAUCUGCACUGUUGGAGCAUCUUUAUAUAUGUUCAUGCUUACAACUAUCCUUUGAAUAGGAUAAUAUACUUUUUUUAUGUUUGACCUCAAAUCAGGUAGGACUACCCGCUGAACUUAA
rnacentral:misc_RNA from 1 species